GACGAACGCUGGCGGCGUGCUUAACACAUGCAAGUCGAACGGAAAGGCCCUUCGGGGUACUCGAGUGGCGAACGGGUGAGUAACACGUGGGUGAUCUGCCCUGCACUUUGGGAUAAGCCUGGGAAACUGGGUCUAAUACCGAAUAGGACCACGCGCUUCAUGGUGUGUGGUGGAAAGCUUUUGCGGUGUGGGGUGGGCCCGCGGCCGAUCAGCGUGUUGGUGGGGUAAUGGCCUACCAAGGCGACGACGGGCAGCCGGCCGGGGGGGGUGACCGGCCACGCUGGGACUGGGAUACGGGCGAGACUGCUACGGGAGGCAGCGGUGGGGAAUAUUGCACAAUGGGCGCAAGCCUGAUGCAGCGACGCCGCGUGGGGGAUGACGGCCGUCGGGUGGUAAACCUCGUUCACCAGGGACGAAGCGUAAGUGAGGGUACCUGGAGAAGAAGCACCGGCCAACUACGUG
rnacentral:rRNA from 1 species